GCGGCCAUGGCGGAAUUGGUAGACGCGCUAGCUUGAGGUGCUAGUUCCCUAACCGGAGUGGAAGUUCGAGUCUUCUUGGCCGCACCA
rnacentral:tRNA from 1 species